rnacentral:lncRNA from 10 species
AGUCACCCUAAGAAGGAUGUGUGGAAGACUUGACUGGAGGAUCAAAAUGUGUCGGGGGAAGGUGUACAAGGAGGAGUAAGGACACAGAUGUCCUGACUUCACACAGUGGGGGAUUAGAAGCCACCAUCAAACACAGAUGAAACAGGAAUAAAAGUAGUAGUACAUUACUUAAGCUUUAAAAGGGUAAGACUCCUGGGAAUUUGGAAGCUGAGACUUGAGGCAAGUAUUUAGGAUUUGCUGUCUCACCUCCCUGCUAUGACAGUCCUUAAUUAAUGGAGAUGAUGGAGAACAGCUUGCUGGGCUGAGUGGCAGGAGCCAUGCAGCUGCUGGGGCUGGAGUGGGUCAGGAAGCUUCAUCAAUCUGGGACACAUGACGUGCUUGGUGGUGGCGGAGCCUGACGCAUCCCUCUUCAUCGACAUUGUGUCAAUAGGAGCAGAGGCAUUUAGCUGUGUAAACACAGAGCUUCAGUGGCAGCACCCUAAAUGCUUAGCUGAUAGAUCCGGAAUUAAAUACAGACCUAGAAACUGGAGUUGGAAAACUUCCUGGCAGCACUCCUUCCCUGCCAUCCCGGUGAUCCCCUUCUGGAUGGAGGGUGUGGAGCUCAGCACAUUCACGUCUGCAGGCUUGUUGGAUUUUGCUUGGCAUGGAAUUGAAUCAAUAGAUCAAUUUGGGAAGAAAUGACAUCUUGGAAGUAUUGAGAAUUUCAAUUCAUGAAAGUCUUGCUCCAUUGCCCUGGCUGGAGUGCAGCGGUGUGAUCCCCACUCACUGCAACCUCUGUCUCCCGGGUUCAAGCGAUUCUCCAGCCUUAGCCUCCUGAGUAGCUGGGACUACAGGCACGUGCCACCAUGCCUGGCUAAUUUUUUGUAUUUUUAGUAGAGACAGGGUUUCAUCAUGUUAGCCAGGAUGGUCUCAAUCUCCUACCUCAUGAUCCACCCGCCUCAGCCUCCCAAAGUGCUGGGAUUACAGACAUGAGCCACCAUGCCUGGCCCAGUGUUCUUUUCUUGUGCAGUCUAAUUUUGGUAUAAGGCUUUUGCUGGCUCUAUAAAAUGACAUGGAAAAUAUUUUCUCCUCUUCUACUCUCUGAAAAAGUUUGUGAAUAAUUUGUAUCAUUUGUUCUAUAAAUACACAAGAGAACUUAUCAGUGAAGUCAUCUGAAAAGGUUUUAAUCGUGAGAAGGUUAUACUGGUGAAUUUAAUUUCAUUACUACAUAUAAAACUAAUUAUGUUUCCUCUUUUUCUUGGAUAUGCUUGAAUAAUUGUGCAUUUCUAAUAUAUUUUAAUCCAAAUUGUCAAAUUUCAUCAAAAUUGUCAAAUUUCUUGGCAUACUAUCCCUGUAUUAGCCUUUUAAUGUCUGUAGAAUCUGUAGUAAUGUCUCCUAUUUUAUUUUUGGUAUUGAAUAUGUGUUUGUGUUUUUCCUUGGUCAGUCUUGCUAGUUUUAUUUACCAUUUCAAAGAAAUAAUCUACUUUAUUGAUUACCUUCGUUAUCUUUAUUAUUUCCUUACUUCUGUUAACAUUUUAUUGAAUUUGUCAUUUUUCUAGCCUUUGAGAUUGCAAGAUUAAAUUUUUUAUUUUGAAACCUUUCUGUGUUUCUAAUAUAAGCAAUUAAAGGUAUAAAAUUACUUCAAGUUCUACCUUAUAUGUAUCUCAUAAAUUUUAAAAUAUUAUAAAUUUAUUACUAUUUCAUUUAAGAUAUUUUAAAAUUUACCUUGCACUUUUUAAAAUUCAUGGCAUACUUGGAAGAUUUUGUUUAACUUUCCAACACAGUAGUGUUUUAAAAAAACAUAUUUUAUAUUUGUUAACUUCUAUUUUAACUCUAUUUAAUUUCAUCAUAGAGAAAAUACUAUGUAAUUUCAAUGCAUAACAUUUAUUGUGUCUUCUUUAAUUUCUUAACAGAUGGUCUGUCUUGGAGAAUGUUCCAUGUGCACUUGAAACAAAUAUGUAUGUUUUCUUGGAUAUAUACAGCUCAAUAGGUUAAAUUGUUUGAUAAUAUUCAGAUAUUCUUUUUCCUUACAGUUGUUUUGUCUAUUUGUUUUCUUAACCACCGGGGCAAGAAUAAAGUCUUCAGUUAUAAUUGUAAAUUUGUCUAUUUCUUCCAGUAGUUUUGUUAAAUUUGCCUAAUGUAUUUUGAAUAACUGUUUAUAUGUUGAUUCAUUUAGGAUUGUUAUGUCUUCUUGAUUAAUUGAUACUUUAUCAGUAUAAAAUAUCUGUCUUUGUCUUUAUGAAUAUUCUUUGUCUUGAAGUCUACUUUGCUUAUAAUAUAGCUGUAUUUUCUUUUUCAUGCAUAUUGUUUACAUGCCUUUUUACCUCCUUUUACUUUUCCCUACUUCUCUAUAUUUAAAGAGUAUUUCUUGUAGACACUUAGCAUAUUGCUUGCUUUUAUAUUUUUAGUGUUAACAUUAACAACAUUUUAUAUUAUUAUUGGCAUGGCUGGCUUUAAAUCUACCAUUAUAUUUAUUUUCUAUUUGCUUAUUGCUCCUUUUUUCCACUUUUGGAUUGAUAAUUUCUAGCAUUUUAUUUUUCCCUUGGCUAAAUCUCUUUGUUAGUUUUAGUAGCUUUGUGUACUUUCUGUAAUCACCAUCUCAUUCUUUCUAUUAUGAUCGUCAUACAUUUUACUUUCACAUAUGUUAAAAUGUCACCAUACAAUGUUAUUUUCUUUCUUCUAAUAAUCAAAUGUAGUUUAAGGAAUUAAGAAAUAAGGAAAAAGUAUUUCAUAUUUAAUCCAUAUAUUUGCCAUUUCUAGGUCUUUUAUUCUUUCAUGUAGACUUAUUCCUUCAUGUUGCAAUCUUCUAUCAGUUCCUUUCAGCCUGAAGAAGUAUCUUAAACAUUUCUGUGUAACAGAUCAACUUGUGAUUAUUUUCUUACUUUUGUUCAUCUAAAAAGUCUUUAUUUUUCUUUCCAUUUUGAGGGGUAUUUUCACUGGAUGUAUGCUUCUAGGUUGACAGGAUUUUCUUUCAGCAUUUUAAAGGUGUUAUUCCAUUGUCUCUGGCUUGCAAUAUCUCCGAUGAGAGAGAAGCUAUUAUGCUUAUCUUUGUUUUUCUAUAAGUAAGAGUCUUUUCCCCCUCUGUGUCUUAUCCCAUUUUGUGUUGCUCUAAAGGAAUACCUGAUGUUGGGUAAUUUAUAAAGAAAAGAGGUUUAUUUGGCUUUGGAAUUACACUUUGGAAUUAUUGGUGUCUGGAAAGUUCAAGACUGGGCAUCUGUAUCUGAUGAGGGACUCAGGCUGCUUCCAUUUCUGGCAGAAGGCAGAGGGGAGCCAAGAUCCUGUGGGGAGAGGGGAAGCAAAGGAGAGAGGAGGUGCUGGGCUCUUUUUAACAACCAGUUCUUUAAGGACCUAUUAGAGGUAGAAUUCUCUCACCCUUGAGAAAGGGCAUUAAUCAAUUCAUGAGGAAUUUGCUCCCAUGACCUGAACACCUCCCAUUAGCCCCACCUCCAACACUGUGAAUCAAAUUUCAACAUGAGGUUUGGAGGAAACAGACAACCAAACCAUAGCACUCUGGUUUGUUUAAUGUUUUUCCUCUUUAUCAUGAAUUUCCAGCAAUUAGAAUAUAAUGUUCAUUGGUGUGAUUUACUUUGAUUUUUAUCCUCCUGGAGGAUCAUUGAGCUCUUGGAUCUGAGGUUUUGUAUUUUUGACUUAAUUUGAGAUAUUUUCAGUCAUUAUUUCCUCAAAUAUUUUUAUCUGUACACUAUUUUCCUCAUCUUCUUUUGGGAUUUAUGUUUCACAUAUUUUAGAAUACUUGAUAUUGAGUUCCAAGUUACAGAAGCUCUUUUCAUUUCUUAUGACAACAUGCCCUAUACCCAAUGUAAUUAUUGAAGAAAAUUCAAUGUUUGCAUAGUAUGUAAUAGUAUGAAUGUGUAAUAAUUUACUUAUUAUAAUAAGAAGCUUCCAACAUAGAUCCCCCAAAUCUCACCUCCUGGUAUUCCCACUUGUAUGGAAUCCCUUCCUCUUGAGUAGGGGCUGGACCUAGCAACUUGCUUCUAAUGAGUAGAACACAGAAAAAUGAAUGGGAAAUCACUUCUAUGAUUAGAUUAUGAAACACUGCUAGCAGUCUCUUGCACUCUCUUGUCUCGCUCGUUAUGACAAUGUAAGCUUCAAUGUGGAGAGGCCCACAUAGCAAUAAAUGGAAGGAAGACUCUUAAAACAGCCAGAGAGUAACUGAGACCUUUGGAACUGAAUCCUACCAACAACCAUAUAAAUGAGCUUGGAUGUAGAUUCUUCUUCAGUUGAACCUUCAGAGAAAACCCCAGCCUCAGCUGCCACCUGAGAGCAGUCUUGUGAGAGGCCCCCAUUUAGAGAUCCCAGAAGAGCAACACCCAGAUAUCACAUACAUUGUGAUAUAAUAAAUCAUUACACUUUGGAAUUACACUUUGGAAUUAUUGAGUCAUUACACUUUGGAAUAAUUUGUUACACAGCAAUAGAUAACAAAUACGUUUCUUCUAUCUACUAUUUUUGGACAUGCCUCUUUCCUCUUUUAUUUGCUAUUAUAAGUAUUACUGCAUUAAAUAGCCUGGAGAAUAUAACUUCAUCUUCAGAAACUUAUUUACACAAGUGGCAUUGGUAAGUCAAAAAGUAUGAGCAGGCCUCAGUUUGGUAGUGCAUAUAAUAAAAGUUUGGAAUAAUACAAAGAAGAUUAACAUGGCCUCUACACAAAGAUAAUAUGCAAAUUCACGAAGUGAUCCAUAUUUUUUUUUACAAAGGCUUAAAACCCAUUCAAUGGAUGAAGGACAGUGUUUUCACCAAGUGGUGUUCUGUAUCUUGACUGUGGUUGUAAAUAUUAAUACAUGAACCUACACAUGGGAUUAAGUUGUACAGAACUACACAUGGGAUUAAGUUGUACAGAACUACACACACACACACACACACACACACACACACACACCAAUGAGCGUACGUAAAACUGGAGACAUCUGAAUGAGGGUGCUGAGUUGUAUCAAUGUCAGUAUGAGGUUGUGAAAUUAUACUGUGGUUUUUAAGAUGCUAUCAUUGGGGGAAACUAGGAAAAGAGUGUAUAUGAUCUAUGAUCAUUCUGUAUUAUUCCUUCCAACUAAAUGUGAAUCUAUAAUUAUCUCAAUAAACAUUGUAAUUUUUAAGUGAGA